rnacentral:rRNA from 1 species
GUGCCAGCCGCCGCGGUAAUACGUAUGGGGCAAGCGUUGUUCGGAAUUAUUGGGCGUAAAGGGCUCGCAGGUGGUUUGUUAAGUUGGUGGUUUAAUCUCUGGGCUCAACCCAGAGUCAGCCAUCAAAACUGGCGAACUUGAGUACGAUAGGGGAUAGCGGAAUUCUCGGUGUAGCGGUGGAAUGCGUAGAUAUCGAGAGGAACACCAAUGGCGAAGGCAGCUAUCUGGAUCGUAACUGACACUCAUGAGCGAAAGUGCGGGGAGCAAACAGGAUUAGAUACCCUGGUAGUCCGCACCGUAAACGUUGUAUACUAGUUGUUGGUGGUUUCAACGCCAUCAGUGACGUCGCUAACGCAUUAAGUAUACCGCCUGGGGAGUAUGCUCGCAAGGGUGAAACUUAAAUGAAUUGGCGG